rnacentral:rRNA from 1 species
AAUGGGGGAAACCCUGAUCCAGCCAUACCGCGUGAGUGAAGAAGGCCUUCGGGUUGUAAAGCUCUUUCAGCCGGCAAGAAAUCGUGCAGGCUAAUACCCUGUAUGGAUGACGGUACCGGAAGAAGAAGCACCGGCUAACUACGUGCCAGCAGCCGCGGUAAUACGUAGGGUGCGAGCGUUAAUCGGAAUUACUGGGCGUAAAGCGUGCGCAGGCGGCUACAUAAGACAGGUGUGAAAUCCCCGGGCUCAACCUGGGAAUGGCGCUUGUGACUGUGUGGCUUGAGUUCGGCAGAGGGGGGUGGAAUUCCACGUGUAGCAGUGAAAUGCGUAGAGAUGUGGAGGGACACCGAUGGCGAAGGCAGCCCCCUGGGUCACUACUGACGCUCAUGCACGAAAGCGUGGGGAGCAAA